AGGGGCGGCCCAAUGUAUUUUGGGGCCUAAGGCGAACUCACUAAGAGAGGCCUUUUUAAAAAUAAUAAUAAUAAUAAUAAUAAAUUUUUAAGAAGAGAAAAAUUAUAAGAAUUGUAACAAAAUUAGAUGAAUUAGAAGCAGGAGAUUAUAAAUUUAAAAAGUAUGUUUCUUUAGAAACAAAAAAUAGUGAAGGAAAUUUUAUUGGAAUAAAAAGGGGAUCAAACUAUCCUAGUAUAACAGCACCUGGAGCCCAUUCAAUCAGAAAUUCUCCCUUCACUGCUCCAGAAGAUUGUUUUCGUUAGUUAUAAUUCUAUGUAAGUUGUGGAGACCAUACAUGAGAUGAUAAGUCAAUAGUUGCAAAGCAUAAGAAUGUUCAUGCUGUUUUCCAUCAAAUUCUCCUACUAACUAUUAACAGCUUCUACUAACAAAUAACCUAUUUGCUCGAGGUGCCAAGGCUGCAAGGCAUAUCGAUCAUAAGAAGGAUCCCAUGAGCUCCCCACGCUGACCAAUUUUACAAAGAGAAAAUGAUUAAAAUUACAUGAUAGAUUACAUGAUAGAUGAAUCCAAUGGACUUUCGGACUUUCCCAUCCUUUGCCUAAAAAACAGAAAGAAAUAACAUAUGGUUUACUGGUUUAGGCAUUUCAUCAAACAUGUUUAAGCCAGAGAGAGACUUACAAGUUACAACUCAAAUGCAGUGCAGGCUGCAGCAGCGAGCGCCGAGCGGGUUGACGACCUGAUCUGCUGAUCACCUGACGUGAAGAAAUCAAAAAGAUGGGGUCGU
rnacentral:lncRNA from 1 species